GACCAAUCCAUAUGGCCCGCGAAGAAAUGGGUCGGCUGAGUCGGAUUUUCGGGUUACCGGUUUGCUGUUUAUUGGGUUCUCAUGGUUUGGGUUGGUCGGUUUCGGAUCUUUGUUUUCAGCCCAGUGAAAACUGAAUCCGACCGGCUGAGUGUUAUAGUAAGUUUUUUUGUUAACAGUGGAGUGGACUGGGUAUAUGUCUCAGGCCUAACCUAAUAUUAAAAUCCCAACUCAAGUUUUCUCUACUACCAUCUUAUCAACACAGCCACAACGCUGUUCUCUCAUCUCAUCAACCCUAAACAACACCCAAACUCAAGUUCACGCCGCCACGAAGAACCACCACGCCGCCACCACUGAUCAACCAUAAGAUGGAGCAAAGAGAAAUUAGCUUGCAGGGAGAUGGUAGCUUUGAGUCACUUAGAGACUCAAGAACACAAGUCUAAUUUUUUGAAACUUUUGAAACUCAUUUUGGGAACCAACAAGCUUCGACCUUUUACAGAAUGGGAAACAAGUAUUAUUUUUGACAGUAACAGAAUUCACCGAAGCCUCAUCAGAGGUGAAAUGGAAGUGUAGAAAAGUGGAGUCUAAGCACUCAUAGAGAAGUGAAUAUUGCUAUAAUGGUGAUAGUGGUUGUGGUUUUAUGCAAGGUGCAUCCAACAACACCAGUAAAAAGAAAUUCGGA